rnacentral:rRNA from 1 species
GAUCAUGGCUCAGGACGAACGCUGGCGGCGUGCCUAAUACAUGCAAGUAGAACGCUGAAGGAAGGAGCUUGCUCUUUCCGGAUGUAGUUGCGAACGGGUGAGUAACGCGUAGGUAACCUGCCUGGUAGUGGGGGAUAACUAUUGGAAACGGAUAGCUAAUACCGCAUAACAGUAGAUAUCGCAUGAUAGCUGCUUGAAAGGUGCAAUUGACACCACUACCAGAUGG